rnacentral:lncRNA from 1 species
UCUACAUCCACACAUGCUCUUUAAGUUUUUGCUGACAGACAUUAGCCAGUUGGAAAUGAUUUUGGUGUGUGAGUCUUUGCCUCCCAGCAACUGGUGCCCAGGCUCAACUGAGAUCUUACUCUCACUAAACAGGAUCCUGUCUUCCACCAAGACUUACACAAUUGUGAAUUCCCCAAAUGAAGAGGGUUGAGAUGUGCAAGAAAAAAAGAGUUCUCCCCAGACCUGUGGACAAUGACAGCCUUCUAGAAACUGGGUUUCUCUACAGCUUCUGGUGUCAGCUGCCCCUUGAACAACAUGGGUUUGAACUACGCAGACCCACUUAUAAGUGAAUUUCCUUCUCCUCUGCGACCUGAGACAGCAAGAACAACCCCUCAUCCUCCUCCUCAGCCUACUCAAUCUGAAGCUAAUGAUGAGGAUGAUGACCUUUACUAUGACUCACUUCCACUU